GACGAACGCUGGCGGCGUGCUUAACACAUGCAAGUCGAACGGAAAGGCCCUGCUUUUGUGGGGUGCUCGAGUGGCGAACGGGUGAGUAACACGUGAGUAACCUGCCCUUGACUUUGGGAUAACUUCAGGAAACUGGGGCUAAUACCGGAUAGGAUCUCCUGCUGCAUGGUGGGGGUUGGAAAGUUUCGGCGGUUGGGGAUGGACUCGCGGCUUAUCAGCUUGUUGGUGGGGUAGUGGCUUACCCAGGCUUUGAAGGGUAGCCGGCCUGAGAGGGUGACCGGCCACAUUGGGACUGAGGUAGGGCGCAGACGCGUACGGGGGGCAGCGGGGGGGAAUAUGGCACAAUGGGCGGGAGCCUGAUGCAGCGACGCCGCGUGCGGGAUGACGGCUUUCGGGUUGUGAACCGCUUUCGCCUGUGACGAAGCGUGAGUGACGGUAAUGGGUAAAGAAGCACCGGCUAACUACGUG
rnacentral:rRNA from 1 species